ACGGCGGCGGUGGGCGAAUUCUGAGGACAAAGCUAGGGCUCGUCCUAUAAAGAGAGAGAGAGAGAACGAGCGAGGAAAAAGGAGACAAUGAACAAGGAGGAAGUAGGACCGACCUCGCCAGUCUCCUAGGGGCGGCGGCUCGCCGGAUGUGAGAAAGAAAGAAGGGGCGAUUCCUUGUGAAGGGCUAGGGCUCACAAUUUUGCAGAAAGAGGGUAGCUUAGAUUGAGAAAUUGAGAAUGACAUUGAGAGGGAGGAAAACGGGCGAUAGGCGGCUCCCUCAGCCGGGGGAGGCGCUCGCCGGAGGAGAAGCGGCGCUGGCGAGUUUUGGAAGAGAGGCUGCUGAUUUGGGCGGAGGAAUUGAGGAACAGAAGUAGGAGGCUGUUUCCAGCCGUGAAAAUGAGAGAGAGAGAAAGAACCGAGAUAUCAUAUCUCUUGGUUGGGCCACUUUGAUUAGUUGGACUGGAGUUUAAUAUGAUGGGUUGAUUCUUUUCAUUGAGUGGGCUCAAACAAUGGUGAUUUUUAGGCCCAGAUUUCCUCAAAUACUUAUCAAGUGGGUUAGAAUACAAUAAAAUGAGUUUAUUAAUUAAGAUUAAUGAUCUGAUUUCAUUAGACGAGCUUAAAUCCUAUAGUUGGAUUAUUAUUAGAAUUUUC
rnacentral:lncRNA from 1 species